AGUGUAGGUGGCUCAUUAAGUCACAUGUGAAAUCCCCGGGCUUAACCUGGGAACUGCAUGUGAUACUGGUGGUGCUAGAAUAUGUGAGAGGGAAGUAGAAUUCCAGGUGUAGCGGUGAAAUGCGUAGAGAUCUGGAGGAAUACCGAUGGCGAAGGCAGCUUCCUGGCAUAAUAUUGACACUGAGAUUCCAAGCGUAGUAGCAAACA
rnacentral:rRNA from 1 species